rnacentral:RNase_MRP_RNA from 14 species
AAGACGCGCUUCGGAGCAAACAUACGGAGGAGCUUCGGCCCUCACACUGAGCUCUGAGGAAAGUCCCCGGGCAUUCCGGCAGAGAGUGCCAGCCGUGAAGGCAUGGGCCCCGCGGUGCGGCGUACGGAGAGGGCUUUCGGGCCUGAGUUUGCCUGCCCGCGGGUCCUCGCCAUGGCUAGACAGUUAUGCGCGUCGGGGCCCUUCGGGGCCCUUGAACAGAACGGGGCUUACUCUGGCG